rnacentral:rRNA from 2 species
CAGUAGGGAAUCUUCCGCAAUGGACGAAUUUUUGACGGAGCAACGCCGCGUGAGUGAUGAAGGUGCACGGAUCGUAAAACUCUGUUGUUAGGGAAGAACAAGUACCGGAGUAACUGCCGGUACCUUGACGGUACCUAACCAGAAAGCCACGGCUAACUACGUGCCAGCAGCCGCGGUAAUACGUAGGUGGCAAGCGUUGUCCGGAAUUAUUGGGCGUAAAGCGCGCGCAGGCGGUUCCUUAAGUCUGAUGUGAAAGCCCCCGGCUCAACCACGUAGGGUCAUUGGAAACUGGGGAACUUGAGUGCAGAAGAGAAGAGUGGAAUUCCACGUGUAGCGGUGAAAUGCGUAGAGAUGUGGAGGAACACCAGUGGCGAAAGCGACUCUUUGGUCUGUAACUGACGGGGGGGCGCGAAAGCGUGGGGAGCAAACAGGAUUAGAUACCCUGGUAGUCCACGCCGUAACGAUGAGUGCUAAGUGUUAGAGGGUUUCCGCCCUUUAGUGCUGCAGCAAACGCAUUAAGCACUCCGCCUGGGGAGUACGGCCGCAAGGCUGAAACUCAAAGGAAUUGACGGGGGCCCGCACAAGCGGUGGAGCAUGUGGUUUGAUAAAAAGCAACGCGAAGAACCUUACCAGGUCUUGACAUCUCCUGACAACCCUAGAGAUAGGGCGUUCCCCUUCGGGGGACAGGAUGACAGGUGGUGCAUGGUUGUCGUCAGCUCGUGUCGUGAGAUGUUGGGUUAAGUCCCGCAACGAGCGCAACCCUUGAUCUUAGUUGCCAGCAUUCAGUUGGGCACUCUAAGGUGACUGCCGGUGACAAACCGGAGGAAGGUGGGGAUGACGUCAAAUCAUCAUGCCCCUUACCCCCUGGGCUACACACGUGCUA